GAGGGUGUAGCUCAGUGGGAGAGCGCGUGCUUAGCGUGCACGAGGUCCUGGAUUCCAUCCCCAGCCCCUCCU
rfam:Camelus ferus unplaced genomic scaffold scaffold1232, whole genome shotgun sequence.